GAUUAAGCAUUGAACAAAAUCAUGACAUAAACUGGUGGUUGAUUACAAAUUAUAACAUCUUAGAGAUUCAGAUGUAGUUCAUUGGAGGCUCUGGACUCCAUAGCACAGAAAAAAUUACAACAUCUAAUCUUGCAUUUAAUAUGUACUAUCCUGGCCAUUUACUUUUCAAAGUAUUGUUUUAUAGAAUCUUUGAGAGGAUGGAUGUAUAGAACUGUUCCAUAGAAUAAGUCUGUUGUCUUGGAGUAGAGGCAUGAAUCAUAGGCUAUGUAGGAAAAGAUAUUCACUAUGCUCUAUAGGCAGUCACAAGUGAUCUGAUCCUGAGAUCCCAAGCCAUAUGCUAAAGAUUUGCAGGGGAAUGAUAGCCAACUUCGCCCAUAUUGCUGUCACAUGGUUUGACCAGCACAGAACAGAACAGUGUAUUUCAGGAACAGUUAUUAACAUAUAUGAGACUUCAGUGCUGGUAAGCUGUCAGAGGCCAGCUGCUUAUUCACAGCCUGUCCUCACCGCCGAGAUUAGAAACCAUGUUUGUUCCCUUUGUGUUGCUGCACGACUCCCAUCAUGUUCCUCAUUGCAUGUUUGCACCCUGAGUCAAAGCCCACUCACAGCUAAUCAGUGCAAGAAGCUGUGGCCAGCAUUUUGUUAAAGAAAAAAAAAAAAA
rnacentral:lncRNA from 1 species